CGAAAGCCUGACGGAGCAAGACCGCGUGGGGGAGGAAGGCUCUAGGGUUGUAAACCCCUUUUCUUUGGGAAGAACAAAAUGACGGUACCAAAGGAAUCAGCCUCGGCUAACUCCGUGCCAGCAGCCGCGGUAAUACGGGGGAUGCAAGCGUUAUCCGGAAUUAUUGGGCGUAAAGAGUCCGUAGGUGGUCUUGCAAGUCUAUUGUCAAAGCCCGCAGCUUAACUGCGGAGAGGCAGUGGAAACUGUGAGACUAGAGUAUGGUAGGGGUAGAGGGAAUUCCCAGUGUAGCGGUGAAAUGCGUAGAUAUUGGGAAGAACACCGGUGGCGAAAGCGCUCUACUGGACCAUAACUGACACUGAGGGACGAAAGCCAAGGUAGCG
rnacentral:rRNA from 1 species